rnacentral:tRNA from 1 species
GCCGCCGUAGCUCAGCGGUAGAGCGCCGGCCUUGUAGCCUCUGGCUGGAAAGCCGGUGGUCGCGGGUUCAAGUCCCGUCGGCGGCU